GGAGGACACAAAAUAAAAAAUAAAAAAAUUGAUGCCAAAAAAUAGACAAAUUUUUUUGUGGUUUUGUUGGGUUUUUUUCGAAACAAUUUGGGCACAGCGUUUUUUCUACCCAGCAUGGAUGGGUAGAAGAGUCUAUUCUAACCAGCAGGAUCGGUAGACAUCCGGGUCAGUCGAAGCAAUCAAGCUUGAUUUUUUUUUUUAAAUUUGUGUCAAUUAAUAUA
rnacentral:ribozyme from 1 species